rnacentral:tRNA from 1 species
GGGCUCAUGGUCUAGUUGGUUAGGACGUCACCUUGACACGGUGAAGAUCUCCAGUUCGAAUCUGGAUGGGCCCA